GUUCAUAAUGUGCUCCAGUCCUUAAAUCGAAUGGUUGAGAAACUGUUUUGUAAUGAGCUUGGGGAAGGCAAAGGAAUGCGUCAUUCAACCUCUUUUUUUUUUUUUUUUUUCAAUUUAUUUUUCUAUAUUCCCUGUGUCUUGUGUCCUGCACAAUGCCUAGCACGUUGUAUUCAAUAAAUAGUAUUGAGUUGAAAAGCACUAGAUACGUGGACACACAUUAAGGUGUAAAGGAGUGUUGGGGAGAGUAAUCCCUUGUGUUGCUUAAACCUCAGGUCAACUUUUUGAGGGAUUAGGAUGGCUAGUUUUACAAAAGAGCAGCAGGCUCAGAGAACCUAAGCGAACUUGUUCAGGGUCUAGGAACAGCAAACAAUCGGGCAUUAUUAGGCAAACUAAAAUCAGAUUCUGGAGGGAAUUCUGUGCUCUGUGCAAAAGAGCUUGACUUUUACUGUGUAGGGGAUGGGCAACCAUAAAGGGCCUUAGGGAAUAGUAACUACUUUUGAGGCUGGGUCAGGGAGAGACUGAGGCAAGGGAAGAAAUGAAAGGUUCUUGGUGCUUGCUGAGACAGCACGUAGACUAAAAUGGGAACAUACAGAGAAGAUUAGCAUGGCCCCUGCACAAGGAUGACACACAAAUUCAUGAAGAGUUCCAUAUUAUUAAAGAAAGACAAUUUUUUCUUUUUUUUCCCCUUUUUUCUUUUUCUUUUAUGUAUAUGAUGGUGGAUGCUACCCAAACUUACUGGGCCCUGUGCUGUUGGCUGCUGUCUUUGCUAGCCACAUGUGGCUAUCAGGCUCUUGAAGCAUGGCCAGUCCAAAUUGAGACGUGCUGUAAGCGUAAAAUACACACUGAUUUCAAAGAUGUGUUGCCAAACAAGAAAGGACUGUAAGGUAUCUCAUCAAUUAUCUAUUUGAUUCCAUGUUAAAGUAAUCUUUUGGAUAAGUUGGGUUAGUUAAAUAAAAAUAUAUUAAAAUUAA